UGAGAUGGGAGAUGCUCCUGAUGACCUGGUGGGGCCCAGGUAACCUGCAGGGUCCUCCUAAGGACGGAAAGGCUUGAGGCAGAGACUGGACACUGCUGUGCUGUGGCUGUGAGGAUGGGUUAAGGGGCAGGAACCAAGGGAGACAGAGAUGGACCCCCCAGUGCCUCCCGACAGAGCCUAGAGGGCAACGCUGCCAUUUCAGAACUGUAAAACGACAGAUUUGUGUUGUUUUAAGUCAAUAAUAACAACAACAACAAAGUCAGGCUAAUUCUUUCUUUCAUUCAAUAAACACUGAAUAUGGACCAUGUGCCCACGAUGCUGGGAGUGAGGACACGGCUGUGGAGGACAUUGCCGGGCACCUGCACUUGGGCAAUGCAGCUCACAGCUGCACCGAGACUCACAGAGCCUCCUGCUGAAACAGCAGAGGCCUUCGCGGGCAGGGGCCAGGGGCGGGUGGGUGGAGAGAGCAGCAGGCGCUGGCCGGGCCCUGGGAUGGCCGGGUAGCAGGGAGCAGGCAGACCCUCCCUAAGAAACCCAGCACCCCGCUGUCCUCCCGGCUGCCGGCGCCCCCGCGCGCUGGCCCCCCGCCCACCAUCGGGCGCCCUGCUGGUCACCGGGCCUCUGCGGCCGCCUCAGCGCAUGAGGGUUCCGUGAAGAGGGGUCGCGUGCCCCUCAGCCGGCAUUCCCGGGGCUCGGGACCCCGGACCUCCCAGAGGAAUCACUCUCCUAUGCCAGAGCCUGGCCUCAAGGGAGACGCUGGCGUGAAUCUACCCCGGCCCGCCUUGGAGGGGAUGGGGCUCCGAGCCUGGUCUGGGCUGUCCAACUGGGCAUAAGCGUCACAGCCACUGCCAGGGGAGGGAGAACCUGGCCAGAGGCCCCGCCGUGGGCUGUGGAGCCAGCCCCUCCGCAGCCCUGUCCAUGUGGGGCAGGCCUGGUGGCCCACACAGCCGGUGCUGGAGCCUCGCGAGGAGGGGGUCGGGGGACAACCGCAUCUGUCCCAGUUCCCGUGAGGGCAAGACGGGGCGCUGUCCAGGAAGAAACCCUGUGGAGGGAGGGGAGCGCACCUCAACGUUUCUUCCUUCCACUCUUGCAGGAAAAUCUGGGGGAAACGUUAUUAAGGCAGAAAGAGUGACCCUGUUCCUUUUUUUGGUAACUCCAUUCACUCCACUUCAACCAUAAGAAUCCCAAGCAGGAAACUUACCAAGCAUCACAAACCACCUCGAAAAGCAACACCACACAACCUACAUGCUGGACCGCUGAGGGGACAUACACCCGGCCACUGAGCGGACGCACGCAGGGCCCCUGAGUGACGUGGGGACGCACGCGGGGGCGCUGAGGGACGUGGGGUUGCUGAGGGAUGCACGCAGGGCCGCUGAGGGGCGUACGCGGGACUCGAGUGACGUGAGCACGCACGUAGGACCUGUUAGUGACGUGGGGACGCACGACGGGGCACUGAGGGGACGCACGCGGGGACGCUGGGGGACGUGGGGGCGCCGAGGGACUUGGAGGGCGCCGAGGGACGUGGGGGCGCUGAGGGACGUUGGGGGUGCUGAGGGGACGCCCGCAGGGGCCGCUGAGGGACGUGGGAGUGUUGAGGUAACGCAGGCGGGGGACGCUGAGGGGACUCAUGCGGCGGGUGCUGAAGGACGUGGGGCGCUGAGGGGAUGCAUGCGCGGGGCAGUGAGGGACAUGGGGACGCUGAGGCAGCGCACGCGGGCCACCAUCGGCCAAGGAUGAGACCAUUAGAACAUCUGCAAUGGGUUGAAACGCCUCGAAUGCAGUAAGAUCCAGGAGUUAUAACGAUACUAAAAAUAGCAACAAUGACCCAAGUCACCUUUGGACAUGCUAAAAACCAGCGGUACCUCAGGAUGACCAAAUAGUUGAUGAGAAAAAAUCCCUCUUCAGAAAAGUAUUACAGCUCACAGGUGAAGAAAGGAGACACAGAAUCGGAGCAUCUUCCCUCCGAAGCCCCACAAUGGAAUCACCGGUGCAGGGAGAUGGCCAGGCCUGCGGCACCCGAGAGAGGCCGUCUGACCCGGGUCCUCUGUGCAGGCAGAGCCCCCUCCGGUGUUGUGUUCCCGCCAAAACUGGCCGCGAAUCGCAGAUGAUGAUGCCGGGAUCCGCGCCCUUGCAGGAGAGACGGGGGUGUGGGGAGGAUGCCGGCAGCUCAGGGCACAGUCCAGACCUGGGGACACCACGGGACAAAAGACAAGUCACGAGAGGAAGAAGCGGAGAGAACCAAGGAUUUUUUCCUGGUUGGAAAAAACAGAGUCUUAAAAAUCCUGUGGGAUGCCAGGGAGUCCUGGGCGCUGAUAUCUGGUGGCAUUAAGGAGUCACCAUCAAUUAUUUUAGGCAUAAAUACAGAACUGGGGUUGGGUGGGGUGUUUGGUUCUUAUCUUUGAGAAUACUUUCUGAAGUGUUUAUGGAUAAAAUAAUAUGAUGUCUGGAACUGUUUUAAAAUAGCCCAGUGAGGAAGCGGGUGGGGUGCUGGCCUUGGCAGGAACACGGGGCCAUUGUGCUGGUCUCUCGCGUUGUGUUGGAACUCACUAUAAACAGCACCAGCGAGGGACGGCAGCCUGCCCUGUGCCUGCCCUGAGGUCACUCUCACUGUGAACUCGGCUCCCUCCAGCCCAGCUCUCACAGGGUCACAGGUGGUGGCUUCAGCCAAUGUCCUGUGCAGGCUUCUUCCUGAAGGAACACAGAGUCCUGAGAGUGGGAUUUCCUGUGGUGAUUCUUCGGUCUCAGAGUCCCGAGGGACACGCGUGUUUGAGAAUCUUCUCCAUGUCCAUCUGGAUGAUCUUCGCCUUCAUUCUCCUCUCCUAUUAAAUGGAGGCCAUCAGCACACUUAGACACGCCUGCCAGCUUUAAGAGUUUAGAGCUAAACAAAUGAAGCACACAGUGCACUUCAAAGACUUCGAGAGGAAGGCUCAGUGUGCACAGAGGCCCCAGGAACCCUGAGCUUCCCCAGGAUGCCCAUCCUGAGCCCUCGGGGGCCAUCUAACCCACUCAAACUCCAAACACUAGUCUCUCCCCCAUCACAAGGAAAGACAGGCAUGGUCCCCCACCCAUCAGCGGUGUUGCUGAAUCUGGCAGCCACUGUGUUUGUCAGACCUGCCUGCCUUGUUCAGCAGGGAAACCACUUGCUAUGAUGAAUGGAGCUGCAUGUGAAACUUAGAUAAGCAGGCAGGUCGAAAACACCUCCUGUGCCAGCAUUCCAGUUUUCUUGCUUGGCCCAAGAACCUGGUUUCAUUUUGGAAGGUGGAGGGAGUGUGUGGCGACCUUGUUGCCAUUUUCAGGCAUGGCUGGGCUCUCACACAGUCACUCUUAGAACAGACAUGUCCCUGCCUGGAGGCCAGGCCCUCUUGGGUUGUGGGAACCAAGCCCAAAAAUGUCAAACAAGUGGCAAAACCUUUAGGGUAAUUUUCCUCUAACUCAAAAAACACCUGGCCGCUUCUCCUCCCCAGAUGUUAAAGACACAGACACAGGAAGCAUCAACUCUGAGGCUUUGGCCAGGAUGUGAGCCCGACUUUCGCAGCCCCAACUGGCAGGCUGACCUCAUGUGAACUCCCUGGCGAUGGCAUCCUGGAGACACCCACAUGGCUGAGCUGGCACCAUAGGGUGAGGGCACCAGGGCCAUGGGGACCGUGGUUGCUUGCCUCAGACAUGGCCAGCAAGGGAGGCACAACAUGGGGCUGUUGAGUGAAUGUGUGAGAGGCUGUGGGUCCCCACAGUCCAGCCACCAGCGGCCUCGCAGCAUCAUAGGAGUCUGAGGUCCAAGACACCGGACUCACAUCUCAACCCUGCCCUGUGCUGCUCAGGGCCAAGUCUAAGCUGCUGUGACAAAGAGGCCCCCACAUGCAGCAGCUGCCACAGAACACGGUCAUCUGUUUUUCAUGCACGCUGUAGCCCUGGUCAUUCCAGCCAGAGCCUCCAGGUUUUGUUGCUCUUCCAGGGCACGUUCUGGGCUGUGUGAUGGAGGCUGGACUGUGGGCUCCUCUGAGGAGGUAGAGGGAUGCGCACCAGGGCCCCCGUGUUGAGGCUCGGCUCCCACCCCAUCACCUCUACUCUAGUGAGGCCACUUCCUGCGAAGGUAGCUGGAUGCUCCUGCCUGGAGCUGCCCCCGGACCACAGAGCAUCCAGGAGAUGAAUGCACUUCCAGCCCCGCCACCCUGGGGAGAUAUACAGCUGAGGUGGCAGCUUUGGAGCAAGCAGGGCAGAGAUGCUUCCCCCUGAGGUCCCUCCCAGCUCUGCUACCUUGUCACUCAAGGUAUGGGUUGGUUGUGUUCCCCAAAAAUACAUGUUAAAAUCUGAGUCUUCAGCACCUCAGAAUAUGACAUCAUUUGGAAAUAAGGUCAUUGCAGAUCUAAUUACCAUAGUGACCCCUUAUCCUGGGGAAAAUGUUCCAAGGCCCUGGUGGAUGUCUGAAACCUCAGAUAGUACCUAACCCUAUAUACACUGUGUUUUUUCCCAUGUGUACAGAAAUACGAUAAAGUUUAAUUUAUAAAUGAGGCACAAUAAUAGAUUAAUAACAAUGAUAAAAUAGAACAGUUAUAACAAUAUACUGUAAUAAAAGUUAUGUGAAUGUGGUCUCUCGCUCUCAACAUAUCUUACUAUACUGUAUUUUCCCUUCUUCUUGUGAUGAUGUAAAGUGCUGUAAAAUGCCACGUGGUGAGAUGAAGGGAGGUGAGAGAUGCAGGCAUUGUGAUGUAGAUGGAAAAUUCCAGAAAUAGAAAAUUCCUCAGUGUUCAGUUAUAUUCUGUUCCGAGCCAUCCCAUCCAAGCCUGGGUUGCCAUUGGCCACUUGGCAGUCAUCCUAGUGACCAGAUGGGCUGUGGUGUCACAGUGCUUGUGUUCAGGUCACCCUUCUUUUACUUAAUAAUGCCCCCAAAGCACAAGUGUAGCCAUGUAAUAUUUGUGGAGCGUGGUUGACCGUGAGUGACUAAAACCCAGAAAAGUGAGAUGGAAGACAACGAGGACCACUGUAGUUAGGAUGAAGUCGUGACUGUGUCCUUAUAAGAAGAAGGGUGACACAGGAGCCCAUGUGGUGGUGGAGGCAGAGAUGGAAGCUGUGAAUCCACAAACCCGGGAGCAUCUGGAGCUUCGGAGGCUGAGGAGGCAGGGAGGACCCUCCCAGCUGUUGGGGGAGCACAGCCUUGCUGGCACCUUGAUUUUGGACUUCAGGCCUCCAGAGCUGAGAGAAGAUACAUUUCUGUGGUUUUGAGCUCCCCGGUUUGUGGUACUUUUCCAACUGCCCCAGGACACUGCUGCGCCAAUGCCCUUGACCUUCAAGGUUGCAUUCUGGCUGAUGGAGCUGAUGGGCACCCCGGCUUCACUGCCCUUGGGCUCCCACUCUGACUGGCCUGUGCUGAAAGGUUAAAAAUAGCUCUGCAUAUAUUAAAAUAGCUAUGUCAAUUCUAAAGGCUCACACAGCUGCUCUAAGUGUCUUGGAUACUCUUCAAAAUAAUAUUUAUAGGCCUCUUCAGGCUCUGUCGAACCAGCUUUUUUAACAUUAAUUAAAGCCAAGCUCAUUAGUUUGUUUACAAGUUGGACUUGGCACACUUUAGCACUUAACAGGAGAUGAAAACUGCAGUUUGUUCAAUUUUCUUUUAAUAAUUUUGUUUACAUUUUUGCCAGCACUCAUAAUCCAGGUUCAGUUUCUGCCAGCACUAAUUUGGUUUAUUCCACAUGGCUGGAGCCACUGCGGGACUCCAUUUGUUCCGGGGCCACCUUCCUGUCACCUUUUACUGUUUCUUGAGUCAGCAAGAAAGGCAGAUCCGACUGAAGACUCCAGCACUCUCCUCAGCUGCAGCCCCCACAGAGCUCCGCGAAGUCCUUUCUCCCACAGGACAGAUCUGAGGCACCCACCAUUAGAAGAAAGGAGUGGAGAAAUGAUAUGCAGGAAGAAGGCCCAUUCUGAUUCACCAAUCGCAUGGACGCACUUUCCUACCAGGCUAGGAGGGAGGAAAGUAGAGCCCCACCCUGACUGCUAAGCCGUUUGCUUUGGUGUCAUGAAAAAAGAGUUCAGCUUCCCAAAUCAGAGAGGAAAAGGUUUUCAAGGGGUCCCCUAUUUCUAUUAUGUAAGCUUUAAAUGACAAAGUGGACCUCUGGGGCCAACGUGGGUGUGUGAUGGUGGUUUUGUGGGAUUCUCCCCAUAGCCCCAUCAGACGGCCUCACCUUCUGGGUCUCAGUGGCCCCAGGUGCAACACGGCUCCUCCAGAAAUGAUGACAGCCCUGGCGACCAAGGACUCCCUGUGCCACUGGGUUUGCGCUCAGAAGUAUAUUCAAUGAUUUCCCCAGAAAAUUCCAAGUCAUCUCCUAAUACUGUUUGUGAAAACUAAAUGAACUGUCGUGGUCUUCUUCAGGGACAGUUUGCUAGGAAGGGUGGUUAUUGGCAUAAUUUUCCAAAUCAAUGAACUAAGUUACAAAACUUUCUCAAAGACCCUGAUGGCUGUUACAAAGACAGAAAAGUGAAUGGUCAGAAAGAAGUGUGAUAAUUCACCCAGUAUUGGGAGGACGAGGUGGGCGGAUCACGAGGUCAGGACAUCGAGACCAUCCUGGCUAACACAGUGAAACCCCGUCUCUACUAAAAAAAUACAAAAAAUUAGCCGGGCGUGGUGGUGGGCGCCUGUAGUCCCAGCUUCUCGGGAGGCUGAGGCAGGAGAAUGGCGUGAAACCUGGGAGGUGGAGCUUGCAGUGAGCCAAGAUCACGCCACUGCACUCCAGCCUGGGCGACGGAGCAAGACUCCGUCUCAUAAAAACAGCCUAAGACAACCACACAGCACACAGGCCUUCAUCCUUGGCUGUGACGGAUGCGUGUCCGUGUGGAGGGCCAGGCCUGUUUCUCCCGUCACUAAUGGAAGCCUCUCUGAGUUUCCAUGAAAGUCUCC
rnacentral:lncRNA from 10 species